AGACACCCAAAGAAAGUGAGAGAAUAGGGCAUGUGGCUAUCUGAAGGAAAAACAUUGUGGGCAAAAGGAAUAGCAAAUGAAAAGGCCCCCAGGUAAAGGUGUGUGUGGCUGGAAAGGAAUUGAGAGGUAGGAAAUAAGAUCAGACACAGCAGAUCAUGUGGGGCCUUGUAAGCCACUGUAAGGAUUUUACCUCUGCACCGAAUAAGACAGGAAGCCAUUGAGUGCUUUGAGCAGAGGAGUGACAUGAUUUGACCUACAUUUAUUUGUAAGAUUGUACUCGCUGUUUAUGUUGAGAAUAGACAACAAGAAGAGCAAAUGCAGAGUCACAGAGAGAAAUCCCAUGGCUACUGCAACAAUACAGGCGAGAAAGUAUGGCAGCUUGGACCAGAGUGGUAGGAGAUGGAAGGAUCUUGCUCUGUCGCCCACGCUGGAAUGCAGUGGUGUGAUCUUGACUCACGGCAACCUCCGCUUCCUGAGCUCAAGACAUGAUGUCUUGCCACCCAGCCUGGGUCUCAAACUCCUGGCCUCAAGGAAUCUUCUGACUUUGGCCUCCCAAAGUGCUGAGAUGACAGGCAUGAACCAGCGUGCUCGGCCUGUCUGCUGUCUUUUCCGUCUGGUUUCUUUCGCUUAG
rnacentral:lncRNA from 13 species